CGGGGCGUAGCUCAGUUGGUUUAGAGCGCCGCCUUGACAGGGCGGAGGUCACUGGUUCGAAUCCAGUCGCCUCGA
rnacentral:tRNA from 1 species